UCUUAUGGAUGAGCAAAGAAACUGGUUUUCUUGAGAUGGAAUUUACUCCUGAUGAAGAUGCUGUGAA
rnacentral:pre_miRNA from 1 species